rnacentral:rRNA from 1 species
UACGUAGGGGGCAAGCGUUGUCCGGAAUCAUUGGGCGUAAAGUGCGUGUAGGCGGCUCGAUAAGUCUGCUGUAAAAGUCCAGGGCUCAACCCUGGAAAGCCGGUGGAAACUGUCGAGCUAGAGUCCGGAAGAGGCGAGUGGAAUUCCUGGUGUAGCGGUGAAAUGCGCAGAUAUCAGGAGGAACACCAAUGGCGAAGGCAGCUCGCUGGGACGGUACUGACGCUGAGACGCGAAAGCGUGGGGAGCAAACAGG